rnacentral:rRNA from 1 species
GAGAGGGGAAAGCAGCAAUGCGCUGAGAGAGGAGCCCGCGGCCGAUUAGCUAGUUGGUGAGGUAAUGGCCCACCAAGGCAAAGAUCGGUAGCCGGCCUGAGAGGGCACACGGCCACACUGGCACUGAAACACGGGCCAGACUCCUACGGGAGGCAGCAGUGGGGAAUCUUGCACAAUGGGGGAAACCCUGAUGCAGCGACGCCGCGUGAGCGAUGAAGCCCUUCGGGGUGUAAAGCUCUUUCGGCAGGGAAGAUGAUGACGGUACCUGCAGAAGCAGCUGCGGCUAACUACGUGCCAGCAGCCGCGGUAAUACGUAGGCAGCAAGCGUUGUUCGGAGUUACUGGGCGUAAAGGGUGUGUAGGCGGUUCCUUAAGUUUGGUGUGAAAUCUCCCGGCUCAACCGGGAGGGUGCGCCGAAUACUGAGGAGCUAGAGUGCGGGAGAGGAGAGUGGAAUUCCUGGUGUAGCGGUGAAAUGCGUAGAUAUCAGGAGGAACACCGGUGGUGCAAACGGCUCUCUGGACCGUAACUGACGCUGAAACACGAAAGCGUGGGUAGCAAACAGGAUUAGAUACCCUGGUAGUCCACGCCCUAAACGAUGCAUAUUUGGUGUGGGUCAUUCAGUUGAUCCGUGCCGGAGCUAACGCGUUAAAUAUGCCGCCUGGGGAGUACAGUCGCAAGGCUGAAACUCAAAGGAAUUGACGGGGGCCCGCACAAGCGGUGGAGCACGUGGUUCAAUUCGACGCAACGCGAAGAACCUUACCUGGGCUCGAACGGCUGGUCAACGACCUUGGAAACAGGGUUACUCCGCAAGGGGGGUCCAGUCGAGGUGCUGCAUGGCUGUCGUCAGCUCGUGUCGUGAGAUGUUGGGUUAAGUCCCGCAACGAGCGCAACCCUCGUCCUGUGUUGCCAUGGCGCAAGCCGGAACUCGCAGGAGACCGCCAGCGAUAAGUUGGAGGAAGGUGGGGAUGACGUCAAGUCCUCAUGGCCUUUAUGUCCAGGGCUACACACGUGCUACAAUGGCCGGUACAAUACGCUGCUAACCUGCGAAGGGGAGCCAAUCGCCAAAAACCGGUCUCAGUUCGGAUUGCAGGCUGCAACUCGCCUGCAUGAAGCUGGAAUCGCUAGUAAUGGCAGAUCAGCACGCUGCCGUGAAUACGUUCCCGGGCCUUGUACACACCGCCCGUCACAUCACGAAAGUGGAUUGUACUAGAAGUCUGCAGGCCGACCCGCAAGGGGGGCAGCGGCCC